UGUAGAGAAUGCUUACACAAGGUCCUGAGGGUGACUCACGUAAGGGGCGACAGAGACCCUGAGGGUGAGCUAAGGAGAAAAGGGAGCAGACGGUGUCAAGAAUUGGUACUAUUCACACGGAUAUCCUUUCUGUCCGAGUUUGUCCGAGUCCGAGAGCCCGAAACACGUUUUGACCGAACAGGAUCAAAAUAAAAGUUCGUGUCGACGUGCGGGUGUCUCAUUCUCCAGGUCAACAUUAUUGAAAUCACCGCAGUUGCGGUAACA